rnacentral:sRNA from 1 species
ACGACCUGGGCUUCUCGCCCUGCCCUACUGCUUGCUGGCUCGUGGCCGGGCCGCGCCUCUUCUGGGCAGUGGGCACCGCCGAAGGCCGGGCCGCAGAGGGGGCUUGCGAGGAUCGGAAGCUGGUCAGCAGCUGUUGGGAUGUGUACAUCGUGAAGCCCACCUGGUGGCCGUGGUUAAAUUGUAUCCAAAUGAAAUGACACUGAUCACUGUGUCCCCUGCAGCAGAUGCUGUCUCAGUCAUGGUUAGUGUUUGCAAGUUUAGUUACUGUAGCUGCGCACCCCGGUGUACACACCUUUCCUCUGUGAGGAGUCACGGCAGAUCUUAGGGGAGGCUCGCUGUGCCCAGAGCCCUGGAUGCAGUUUCUUUGGAUUCGAGUUAAGGCCAGACCUCUGAUUUGCAGUAACUUGGAUCCACUUACAGAAACUGUAUCCUUUUUUACAAAAAAAAAAAGUUGAAGAUUUACUGAGAAUAAAGAAAACAGAGAAAUGAAAGGAAAACACAGAGGAGUACUGAAAAGUUUAAAAACUUGUAGGUCAGGAAACAUCAUAAGCAACACUGAAAGCAAUUUUAAAAAGUGAAACUGAGAACAAGAGUUGUCU